rnacentral:rRNA from 1 species
UACAGAGGUCCCAAGCGUUGUUCGGAUUCACUGGGCGUAAAGGGUGCGUAGGUGGCCUGUUAAGUCGAACGUGAAAUCCCCGGGCUCAACCCGGGAACUGCGUCCGAGACUGAAAGGCUUGAAUCCGGGAGAGGGAUGUGGAAUUCCAGGUGUAGCGGUGAAAUGCGUAGAUAUCUGGAGGAACAUCGGUGGCGAAGGCGGCAUCCUGGACCGGUAUUGACGCUGAGGCGCGAAAGCCAGGGGAGCAAACGGG